rnacentral:rRNA from 1 species
AAUGAACGCUGGCGGCGCGCCUAAUACAUGCAAGUCGAGCGAGAAGACGUAGCAAUACGUUUGUAAAGCGGCGAACGGGUGAGGAAUACAUGGGUAACCUACCCUCGAGUGGGGAAUAACUAGCCGAAAGGUUAGCUAAUACCGCGUACGCUCCUUGGACUUCGGUUCAGGGAGGAAAGCGAUACCGUGGGUAUCGCGCUCUUGGUUGGGCUCAUGUCCUAUCAGCUUGUUGGUGAGGAACGGCUCACCAAGGCUUCGACGGGUAGCUGGUCUGAGAGGACGAUCAGCCACACUGGCACUGCGACACGGGCCAGACUCCUACGGGGAGGCAGCAGUAAGGAAUAUUGCGCAAUGGGCGAAAGCCUGACGCAGCGACGCCGC